GAUGAACGCUGGCGGCGUGCCUAAUACAUGCAAGUCGAGCGAAUGGAUUAAGAGCUUGCUCUUAUGAAGUUAGCGGCGGACGGGUGAGUAACACGUGGGUAACCUGCCCAUAAGACUGGGAUAACUCCGGGAAACCGGGGCUAAUACCGGAUAACAUUUUGAACCGCAUGGUUCGAAAUUGAAAGGCGGCUUCGGCUGUCACUUAUGGAUGGACCCGCGUCGCAUUAGCUAGUUGGUGAGGUAACGGCUCACCAAGGCAACGAUGCGUAGCCGACAUGAGAGGGUGAUCGGCCACACUGGGACUGAGGCACGGCGCAGACUCCUACGGGAGGUAGCAGUAGGGAAUCUUCCGCAAUGGACGAAAGUCUGACGGAGCAACGCCGCGUGAGUGAUGAAGGCUUUCGGGUCGUAAAACUCUGUUGUUAGGGAAGAACAAGUGCUAGUUGAAUAAGCUGGCACCUUGACGGUACCUAACCAGAAAGCCACGGCUAACUACGUGCCAGCCGCCGCGGUAA
rnacentral:rRNA from 1 species